rnacentral:misc_RNA from 1 species
AAUUCUCAACCUUACCUGCUUUUGUUAGCUGGUUAAGGCCUGGACUUGAGGGCUUGCUGGCUUCCUUCAGUGGAUGGUCUGCUCCCUUUAAAUGCAUUAGUGGGAUCCUUUGUGGACGGUCACUUGGUGUGAUAAUUAUCUACGCCGCCUGGCUGUGAAGCAAGACUUGUGGGAACCUGCUCAUAACCGUCUCUGUAUUGAGACAAUUUAAUUGACU